AGUGAACGCUGGCGGUAGGCCUAACACAUGCAAGUCGAACGGCAGCACAGUAAGAGCUUGCUCUUACGGGUGGCGAGUGGCGGACGGGUGAGGAAUACAUCGGAAUCUACUUUUUCGUGGGGGAUAACGUAGGGAAACUUACGCUAAUACCGCAUACGACCUACGGGUGAAAGCAGGGGAUCUUCGGACCUUGCGCGAUUGAAUGAGCCGAUGUCGGAUUAGCUAGUUGGCGGGGUAAAGGCCCACCAAGGCGACGAUCCGUAGCUGGUCUGAGAGGAUGCUCAGCCACACUGGAACUGCGACACGGUCCAGACUCCUACGGGAGGCAGCAGUGGGGAAUAUUGGACAAUGGGCGCAAGCCUGAUCCAGCCAUACCGCGUGGGUGAAGAAGGCCUUCGGGUUGUAAAGCCCUUUUGUUGGGAAAGAAAAGCAGCAGGUUAAUACCCCGCUGUUCUGACGGUACCCAAAGAAUAAGCACCGGCUAACUUCGUG
rnacentral:rRNA from 1 species